AGAGGAAUCCUGAUUGAUCACUAUUUCUACACUAGUCUUCUUUUGCCUACCAUCUGUUUGAUCUAUUGCCUCACUGAGUCAAGACCCUCACUUUUGUUUCUUUCAUUCUUUUUUUAUUUUCAUUUUACUCCCCUUACUUAUAAUUCAGAAUUUUGAACAUUAGCAUUAAACAAAGACGAAAGAAAGAACAAAAAAUCAAUCUUUACUGCUAUCCAAACAUUCAAAUUAAUCUCACAAAUAUUAUUAAUUUAAGCAAUGAUUAAUUGAACAUGGUAUAUAUCAGUUUUCACUCAAUCAAGAAUCACAUGAUUAACAUAAAAAUACAUAGAAUCACAUGAUUAACACAAAAAUACAUAGAAAAAGGGGCCAAAAGAAAUAGUUUCUGCACACACUUAAGAACUCACAGAAAACUAAAAAAUAAAAGAAAAUACUCACCGUCGACUUCAAGGUAAAAGAAGCAAAAUCAAGAAGUUCGAUUGCGCCGACGACGGACGUCGUGAUGUUCACCACAAUAAGUUGGUUCUUGUGGCAAAAUAAAAGCACCAAAAAUUGAGUUUGAAAGUUUGGGAAGAAGAAGAAGACAAGAUUGACGGAAGAGUAAGAUUGGUGAUGGAGAACCCUAGCCAAAUCCUGUGAUGCGAACGAAAUCCCCAUUUUUUGGUGGAGAUCGAAAAUUUCCGAAGAAGAAGGGAGAGUCUUUCAUCUACAGAAGGAAAGUAGAAGAAAAAAUUUCACGGCUACAACAAGCCGAGCCGAUAUUGGGCGAAUUUAAUCAAUUAAGAAGGGAUUAUGCUAAUAAGUUCAAAACGCUGUAGUUUUAUGGGUGGGACAGGGAGUGGGACAGGGCAAUGGGGACAGAGGAUCCGAACUGA
rnacentral:lncRNA from 1 species